UACGGGGGGAGCAAGCGUUGUUCGGAUUUACUGGGCGUAAAGGGCGCGUAGGCGGUCAGCACAAGUCAGUUGUGAAAUCUCCGGGCUUAACUCGGAAAGGUCAACUGAUACUGUGCGACUAGAGUGCAGAAGGGGCAACUGGAAUUCUCGGUGUAGCGGUGAAAUGCGUAGAUAUCGAGGGGAACACCUGCGGCGAAGGCGGGUUGCUGGGCUGACACUGACGCUGAGGCGCGAAAGCUAGGGGAGCGAACAGG
rnacentral:rRNA from 1 species